GACGAACCGUGCGAACGUUUGUCGGAUUCACUGGGAUUAAAGGGCGCGUAGGCGGAUUUUCAAGUCGGAGGUGAAAUCCCAUAGCUUAACUGUGGAAGUGCCCCCGAUACUGAGAAUCUUGAGGGAGGUAGGGGUGUGUGGAACUUCCGGUUGAGAGGUGAAAUGCGUAUAUAUCGGAAGUAACGCCGGUGGCGAAAGCGACGCCCUUGACCUUUUCUGACGCUGUGCCGCGAAAGCCAGGGGAGCAAACGGG
rnacentral:rRNA from 1 species